GGUUCGGUAGCUCAGUUGGAUAGAGCAACAGCCUUCUAAGCUGUGGGUCGCGGGUUCGAAUCCCGCCCGGAUCAC
rnacentral:tRNA from 1 species